rnacentral:lncRNA from 1 species
CAAUAUGUUUGAACCCUGAGUAAAUCCCAGAAGCUUCAUUCUUUCUUCAGUUUUGAACUUGAGGGUUUCCAUCUCAUGUGGUGAUAUAGGAAUAACAUAAGGUCCAUAGCAAAAGCCCUUUAUCCUUUCUUCUGGAGUAAGAACCUCACUAGACUUGGCGAACUUGUCUGUUGGUGACGCCUUGUGGAUAUGCAUUUUUAAAAUGGGAAGUCUCUCAUCAGCCACUGUCUUAUAAAAAGACACCUGCAAAAUUCAAAUUCAAAAAUACCGUCCUCAGGAACUAUCUCGAAUAGUUAUAUAAUCGUCGGAUGGACCAAAGAACACCAAAUAUGAAAUAACACAAUGAUCUCCAGAAACAUUGCACCACAAUCAAUAGAUACCUUAAUUGUUGGGUUAAUCUCAAGAUCACCCCUGGACAAAGUAACUGGAGCAAAUCUCCGGAUCUUGAAGGAAUCUAGAAGUGAGAGUUGAUUCUCAACACACACUGUUUGCGAAACCGAGUUGCUGGAGGAUAAGUUCAACAACUGAUCGUCCUCCGCCAUUAUCUUCUCACUAACAUCAACAUCAGUUGCAACAGGCUUCUUCUCCGCAUCCAUAGCCAGUGGGAGCUCUCCAAAUUCCCAUCCAGGAUCCAAGACAUCCUCAGUCGUAGCACUACGAGUCCAAGGGAGAUCUGUAUUUCCUGUCCAGAAUCAGAAAUUCAUAAUCAGAAAUCAACCUAAAAGUUGACAAAAAAAUAAAUAUAAAAGAAAUUCAACCUAAAUAAUCGGACAAGUUUAAGUAGAAAAUUUCCUUACUGUAAUCACCUGAAACUAAUUACCAUAAUCAGGAAACUCAAAACCAAUGGUACUUUGCCUUUUAACCUUAAUAGCCCUUUAAUUACUCUAUAGUCCAUCUCACUAAUCUGCGAAAAUAUCCUACAGCACAAAAUAUUAAAGACUUGCCGUAUCUAGAGAUGGCCAGAGCUUCCAUUUCCUUCAUGACAAGGUGAGGGUUCUGACAUUCCUGAAUAAACGUCACAGGAAAGUCAUAACACAAAACAAUUUAUAGUACCAACGUACUAUUAACAGGGGAACAAAACUAACAUGGAUACAGCUAAACGUGAACUGAAAUACCAUAGCAUUUAAAUAACGACACCUUUUCUGUAUUAAGAUUUUGAAACAUUUGAUGAAUUGCAAAAGGAUGUUCACCUUUGAUAACAAUGAUCUACACUUUUCUAGCUUCCACGAGGCAGGAAAUAUGCUGGAAGAAGGAAACAGAAACUCACAGACACCCUCAGCAGAAGGUAGCAUGUUGAAGUUGAAAGAAUCAGGCUGCAAAGGAAAAGAGUUAAAUGAACAUCAAGGAAACAGGGGAACAAAACUAACAUGGAUACAGCUAAACGUGAACAGAAAUACCAGAGCAUUUACUUAAUGACACCUUUCCGUAUUAAGAUUUUGAAACAUUUGAUGAAUUGCAAAAGGAUCGUCACCUUUGAUAAAAAUGAUCCACACUUUUCUGGAGCACGGUACCAUCGAAGAGCUACAUAGUCCUGUGGUCAAAAUGCAAUAGGAGAAAAAUUGGUUUCAUGCCAAAUUGAAGAAGUAAUUUUUUAAAGGAAGGCACUGGAUUACUACUCACAGUGCAGAAUAAUGAAAUUAAUGUAUCAAUGAAUGCGAAUCCUGGGAGUUGAAAAUAGAAAGUCUUGAGUUGGCAAUCAGCAUUUCCCAAUAUGUUUUUGGGUUUCAGAUCCCGAUGAUAGACAUUAGCUGAGAGUAAAACAAAAUUGACAGUUAAGAAAAAAAGAGUAUCUUCAGAAAGAUCAUCUAAAACUUAUAGAACUAUGCUAGCUUAACCUGUGUGUAAAGAUUUGAGGCCACUGAGAAGCUGAUAGAGAAAAGACUUGUAACGUUCAAGAACCAAAUCAUCAUUUGCCUUGAUAACCUCAUGCAGAUAAGCUUCCCUCAGCUUCUCCGCAUCAAUUAUGAUCACCCGCCUCUCAAACUCGAAUUGCAACUUUGUGACAGCUUGAUCAGAGGGCUCUCUUUGAACCUUCAAUAAACCCUUGAAGUACACAUCUGCUAGCGCCUGAAGUAACACAUGAAACCAUAAUUUUAAUUAUAAUAAUAACAAACUUAAAGUGGAAUGCUACAUCCUGUCUGACAAAUACUAUGGCAAAAUCAUUUGUUCACUUUACUGUAAUCUUGAUAGAUAUAAGGCGCCAUCAAAACGCGCCAAAUACAAAUAUUAAUAGUCAAAAGCAGGGGAACAAAAAAAGGUUUUACCUGCAAAACCGGGUUAGGAGUAAGUUCAGGCUUUAGUAAUUCCUCUUUCUCAAAAGGUGCGAUGUCAAGCAUCUUAACCAAAUUAUAUGCCAAUGCUUGCUGUUGCUCAUCUGGCUUCCACGAGGCAGGAAAUAUGCUGGAAGAAGGAAACAGAAACUCACAGACACCCUCAGCGGAAGGUAGCAUGUUGAAGUUGAAAGAAUCAGGCUGCAAAGGAAAAGAGUUAAAUGAACAUCAAGGUAGUCAGAAGAUUCAAGAUGAAGGUGUUUCCAUGAGUUAACUUACGGUGUCAUCUAAAUUAGACACAAUGGGAGUGAGGACCUCAACAACUACAUUCCCUAGUCCAUCUCUCCAGACACAACGUACCAUUGCCACCUUGUUUGCUUGCUUCAUUUCUCUUACAAUGGCAGAGACGGCAAUAACAGAGUUUUGUUUUCCCGGAUCAGGAACAACUAUGUUCAGGUCAUCUUUCAUGUGGCGGUGUCUUAGUUGACAUGCAGAGAAAAACACAACACAACACAACAGUCUGUCAACUGAGACAACCAAGAGUUUACAGACAACCAUAAAUAUAGGUGAUUGUUUAUGCUUACCGCAAUAUGUUUGAACCCUGAGUAAAUCCCAGAAGCUUCAUUCUUUCUUCAGUUUUGAACUUGAGGGUUUCCAUCUCAUGUGGUGAUAUAGGAAUAACAUAAGGUCCAUAGCAAAAGCCCUUUAUCCUUUCUUCUGGAGUAAGAACCUCACUAGACUUGGCGAACUUGUCUGUUGGUGACGCCUUGUGGAUAUGCAUUUUUAAAAUGGG